UCCUACGGGAGGCAGCAGUGAGGAAUAUUGGUCAAUGGAGGCAACUCUGAACCAGCCAUGCCGCGUGAAGGAAGAAUGUCCUAUGGAUUGUAAACUUCUUUUAUUUGGGAAGAAACCCCUCUACGUGUAGAGGGCUGACGGUACCAAACGAAUAAGGACCGGCUAACUCCGUGCCAGCAGCCGCGGUAAUACGGAGGGUCCAAGCGUUAUCCGGAAUCAUUGGGUUUAAAGGGUUCGCAGGCGGUUUAUUAAGUCAGUGGUGAAAGCCUACAGCUCAACUGUAGAACUGCCAUUGAUACUGAUAGACUUGAAUUUAGUUGGAGUAGGCGGAAUGUGUAGUGUAGCGGUGAAAUGCUUAGAUAUUACACAGAACACCGAUAGCGAAGGCAGCUUACUAAACUACGAUUGACGCUCAUGAACGAAAGCGUGGGGAGCGAACAGGAUUAGAUACCCUGGUAGUCCACGCAGUAAACGAUGAUUACUCGUUAUUGGCGAUACACGGUCAGUGACUAAGCGAAAGUGAUAAGUAAUCCACCUGGGGAGUACGGUCGCAAGAUUGAAACUCAAAUGAAUUGACGG
rnacentral:rRNA from 1 species